GGGACAUGGAGGAACUCUGAUCCAGCCAUGCCGCGUGCAGGAAGACGGCCCUAUGGGUUGUAAACUGCUUUUAUAUAGGAAGAAACCUUUUCACGUGUGAGAAGCUGACGGUACUAUAAGAAUAAGGACCGGCUAACUCCGUGCCAGCAGCCGCGGUAAUACGGAGGGUCCGAGCGUUAUCCGGAAUCAUUGGGUUUAAAGGGUCCGUAGGCGGGAAUCUAAGUCAGUGGUGAAAUCUUACAGCUCAACUGUAAAAUUGCCAUUGAUACUGGGUUUCUUGAAUUAGUGUGAAGUGAUUAGAAUGUGUAGUGUAGCGGUGAAAUGCAUAGAUAUUACACAGAAUACCAAUUGCGAAGGCAGAUCACUAACACUAUAUUGACGCUGAGGGACGAAAGCGUGGGGAGCGAACAGGAUUAGAUACCCUGGUAGUCCACGCCGUAAACGAUGGAUACUAGCUGUUCGGUCUUCGGAUUGAGUGGCUAAGCGAAAGUGAUAAGUAUCCCACCUGGGGAG
rnacentral:rRNA from 1 species